rnacentral:rRNA from 1 species
CCCUUAGAGUUUGAUCCUGGCUCAGAACGAACGCUGGCGGCAUGCCUAACACAUGCAAGUCGAACGAGACCUUCGGGUCUAGUGGCGCACGGGUGCGUAACGCGUGGGAAUCUGCCCUUGGGUUCGGAAUAACAGUUGGAAACGACUGCUAAUACCGGAUGAUGUCUUCGGACCAAAGAUUUAUCGCCCAGGGAUGAGCCCGCGUAGGAUUAGCUAGUUGGUGAGGUAAAGGCUCACCAAGGCGACGAUCCUUAGCUGGUCUGAGAGGAUGAUCAGCCACACUGGGACUGAGACACGGCCCAGACUCCUACGGGAGGCAGCAGUGGGGAAUAUUGGACAAUGGGCGAAAGCCUGAUCCAGCAAUGCCGCGUGAGUGAUGAAGGCCUUAGGGUUGUAAAGCUCUUUUACCCGGGAUGAUAAUGACAGUACCGGGAGAAUAAGCCCCGGCUAACUCCGUGCCAGCAGCCGCGGUAAUACGGAGGGGGCUAGCGUUGUUCGGAAUUACUGGGCGUAAAGCGCGCGUAGGCGGCUUUGUAAGUCAGAGGUGAAAUCCCGGGGCUCAACUCCGGAACUGCCUUUGAAACUGCAUCGCUUGAAUGUCGGAGAGGUGAGUGGAAUUCCGAGUGUAGAGGUGAAAUUCGUAGAUAUUCGGAAGAACACCAGUGGCGAAGCGGCUCACUGGACGACUAUUGACGCUGAGGUGCGAAAGCGUGGGGAGCAAACAGAUUAGAUACCCUGGUAGUCCACGCCGUAAACGAUGAUGACUAGCUGUC